rnacentral:rRNA from 1 species
UUCCGGGUGUAACUUCUUUUAAGUGGGAGAGCAGAGACGGUACACUUGAAUAAGCACGGCUACUACGUGCCAGCAGCCGCGGUAAUACGUAGUGGCAGCGUGUCCGGAUUUACUGGGUGUAAAGGGCGUGCAGCNGGGCAUGCAAGUCAGAUGUGAAAUCUCAGGGCUUNANCCCUGAAACUGCAUUUGAAACUGUAUGUCUUGAGUGCCNGNAGAGGUANUCGGAAUUCCUUGUGUAGCGGUGAAAUGCGUAGAUAUAAGGAAGAACACCAGUGGCGAAGGCGGAUUACUGGACGGUAACUGACGGUGAGGCGCGAAAGCGUGGGGAGCGAACAGGAUUAGAUACCCUGGUAGUCCACGCUGUAAACGAUGGAUACUAGGUGUGCGGGGACUGACCCCNUGCGUGCCGCAGUUAACACAAUAAGUAUCCCACCUGGGGAGUACGAUCGCAAGGUUGAAACUCAAAGGAAUUGACGGGGGCCCGCACAAGCGGUGGAUUAUGUGGUUUAAUUCGAAGCAACGCGAAGAACCUUACCAGGUCUUGACAUCCUGCUAACGAAGUAGAGAUACAUUAGGUGCCCUUCGGGGAAAGCAGAGACAGGUGGUGCAUGGUUGUCGUCAGCUCGUGUCGUGAGAUGUUGGGUUAAGUCCCGCAACGAGCGCAACCCCUAUUGUUAGUUGCUACGCAAGAGCACUCUAGCGAGACUGCCGUUGACAAAACGGAGGAAGGUGGGGACGACGUCAAAUCAUCAUGCCCCUUAUGACCUGGGCUACACACGUAAUACAAUGGCGGUCAACAAAGGGAUGCAAAGCCGCGAGGCAGAGCGAACCCCAAAAAGCCGUCCCAGUUCGGAUCGCAGGCUGCAACCCGCCUGCGUGAAGUCGGAAUCGCUAGUAAUCGUGGGUCAGCAUACCACGGUGAAUACGUUCCCGGGCCUUGUACACACCGCCCGUCACACCAUGAGAGUCGGGAACACCCGAAGUCCGUAGCCUAACCGCAAGGAGGGCGCGGCCGAAGGUGGGUUCGAUAAUUGGGGUGAAGUCGUAACAAGGUAG